UACGUAGGGUGCGAGCGUUGUCCGGAAUUAUUGGGCGUAAAGAGCUUGUAGGCGGUCUGUCGCGUCUGCUGUGAAAAUCCGGGGCUCAACCCCGGACUUGCAGUGGGUACGGGCAGACUAGAGUGUGGUAGGGGAGACUGGAAUUCCUGGUGUAGCGGUGAAAUGCGCAGAUAUCAGGAGGAACACCGAUGGCGAAGGCAGGUCUCUGGGCCACUACUGACGCUGAGGAACGAAAGCGUGGGGAGCGAACAGG
rnacentral:rRNA from 1 species